rnacentral:rRNA from 1 species
UUGGUCAUUUAGAGGAAGUAAAAGUCGUAACAAGGUUUCCGUAGGUGAACCUGCGGAAGGAUCAUUACAAGUGAGGCUACCGAACGCUGGAAACAGCGGGGAGCUUACACCACCCGUGUUACAUACUAUGUUGCUUUGGGGGCCGUGGCUCCACUGCGGGCUCUGCUCGUGUGUGCCCGCCAGAGGACCAAACUCUGAAUGUUAGUGAUUCUGAGUACUUCUAAUAGUUAAACUUUCAACAACGGAUCUUGGUUCUGGCAUCGAUGAAGAACGCAGCGAAAUGCGAUAAGUAAUGUGAAUUGCAGAAUUCAGUGAAUCAUCGAAUCUUUGAACGCACAUUGCGCCCUGUGGUAUUCCGCAGGGCAUGCCUGUUCGAGCGUCAUUUAACCACUCACGCCUAGCGUGGUAUGGGGCGCGCGGUCUCGCGGCCCUCAAAAUUAGUAGCGGCGCCGGUGGGCUCUAAGCGUAGUACAUACUCCGCUAUAGAGUCCCCCGGUGGUCGCCAGAACCCCCAAUUUUUUUACAGGUUGACCUCGGAUCAGGUAGGGAUACCCGCUGACUUAAGCAUAUCAAUAAGCGGAGGAAAAGAAACCAACAGGGAUUACCUCAGUAACGGCGAUGAAGCGGUACAGCUCAAAUUUGAAAGCUGCCAACAGGCCGCGUUGUAAUUUGUAGAAGCUGCUUUGGGUGUCGGCCCGGUCUAAGUUCCUUGGAACAGGACGUCAUAGAGGGUGAGAAUCCCGUAUGUGAUCGGUGCCGUUGCCCGUGUAAAGCGCUUUCGACGAGUCGGUUGUUUGGGAUGCAGCUCAAAAUGGGUGGUAAAUUUCAUCUA